CCUACGGGGGGCAGCAGUGAGGAAUAUUGGUCAAUGGGCGGAAGCCUGAACCAGCCAAGUCGCGUGAGGGAAGAAGGCCCUGCGGGUCGCAGACCUCUUUGGACGGGGAGCAAGGCCGCCGACGUGUCGGCGGAAGGAGAGUACCCGUAGAACAAGCAUCGGCUAACUCCGUGCCAGCAGCCGCGGUAAUACGGAGGAUGCGAGCGUUAUCCGGAUUUAUUGGGUUUAAAGGGUGCGUAGGCGGAAUAUCAAGUCAGCGGUAAAAAUUCGGGGCUCAACCCCGUCGUGCCGUUGAAACUGAUGUU
rnacentral:rRNA from 1 species